AGGGCACCACCAGGAGUGGAGCCUGCAGCUUAAUUUGACUCAACACGGGAAAACUCACCCGGCCCGGACACUGGAAGGAUUGACAGAUUGAGAGCUCUUUCUUGAUUCAGUGGGUGGUGGUGCAUGGCCGUUCUUAGUUGGUGGAGUGAUUUGUCUGGUUAAUUCCGAUAACGAACGAGACUCCAGCCUACUAAAUAGAUCGUCGGCUUACAAACGCCGGCGAGACUUCUUAGAGGGACAGGCGGUGAUUCAACCGCACGAAACAGAGCAAUAACAGGUCUGUGAUGCCCUUAGAUGUCCGGGGCCGCACGCGCGCUACACUGAAGUGAUCAGCGUGCUUUUUCAACCUACUCUGUCAAGAGUGGGGAACCCAAUGAACCUUUUUCGUGAUUGGGAUAGGGGAUUGUAAUUAUUCCCCUUGAACGAGGAAUUCCCAGUAAGCGCGAGUCAUAAGCUCGCGUUGAUUACGUCCCUGCCCUUUGUACACACCGCCCGUCGCUACUACCGAUUGAAUGUUUU
rnacentral:rRNA from 1 species